UGGGUGAAAAAACACCCACACUCAGUGACUCGUCACCCAGCCCUGGGAGUCUCUGUGGGACCUGCUGUCUGCAGCUGCGCAGCGGUGAGCACACAGCCCAUCCCAGCCCCAGCUCACAACCCACAAUCUGAUCUUGAAUGUAACGUCGAGGAGGGAGCAUGAAUAAUAGAUGAUCUUCUCCUCUUUCCUCCCUUCUCUGCGACCCACCCACAGUGGACUGAUAACGCACGUUCCCAUGCAAUUAAAUCAGAACUUACUGAAUACAAAAUCAGAACUUACUGAAUACAAAACUUACUGGCUUAGGAAAAAUAACUCAGAAUCAAAAUAUGCACACACAACGUUUUUAUAUAUACAUACAUACAUACAUACAUACAUACAUACACACACAUAUCUACUUUAUAUAAAGUAGUUUAAAUAUCUACUUUAAAUAUCUCUGUAUAAAAAAGUAGUUAAAAUAUCUUCUUUAUAUAGCUCUACUUUAUAUAAAAAAUAGUUUAAAUAUCUUCUUGAAAUAUCUCUAUAUAAAAAGUAGUUUUAAUAUCUACUUUAAAUAGCUCUACUUUAUAUAUCUACUUAAAAUAUCCCUCACACACACACACACACACACACACGCUUCUAUGGACUCAUUAACACAUGCAUGAAUACAGAACCCCAGUAUUGUCUGGCAUAUACACAGAUCAUAUAGCUGGUCACCUUAAACUGUCAGCCAUGUUUUGGGUACUCGGUGCAAGCAGAUUAAACUCUGGGCAAGGACAGAAACUGGUGUGUCUUAUCGGAGUUUGCUACAAUAGCCUUGUUUUCGGAGCAUGCCAAGGACCAACACGGCUUAGGGAAAGAUCCGCACUACCAGCAUACAAUGAAGAGUGAAGGGUGAGACUGUGGUUUUAAAACGCUGCUGAUUAGAUAAGCUUUGUAACUAAAGUCUUCAUUUAAUUUUCUGGCCAAAGUAAUAUUUAAUUUCAAAGAUAUGACAAAGGUCACAUUAGCAGGCAAAAGAUCACAGAAUAGUUCAGUUUUCCCUGUUUGUCCUCAAAGAAAAGACAAUAUAUCAUUUUAAAUGAAAGACCAGGCCAGGCAUAGAAAAUAAAGAUAAAUAAAACGGUGUUUCCUAAAGAGGUUUUCAAAAUCAAGUCAACCUACAACCUAAAAAAAAGAUAUGACAUCAUGUAAAAGCAGUAAAUCUGAACAAAUAAACCAUGUGAGAAAAUACGGACAUUAACCAUGUCAUGGUCUGAGAAAGGCUAGUCUCCAAGAAUGUCUGGAAGUAAACUGUUAGUGUCUGUUCUUCCUGUUUCCAUUCUCUGCCACUAUCUUUUUAACUGCAAUUUAUUUACAGAGGACAUUCAUUGCAAUCACCAGACUAUUGCGUAAGCUCUCUGGGUAUUAGGUCAGAGAACGCCAUGAAGCAUGUGAUGAUGCUUCCGGUUAAAGUCUGCAAAAAAAAAUUUUUUUUAUUUACUUCCUACAUUCUGUGGAUCACAAGACCAGUCACCAGGAAGAAGGGGGACUGUACGAAGCAGAACUGGGCACUAAGUAACAGACGGUACCCUUAGUAGGAAAACACUGGAGUUGAAUAAAACACUCAGGUCCAGCAGUCAGAGGAGGGUCCGUAUUGAAGCAAUGGCCACCGGUAAGUCUGCGUCUCCUUCAGCCCUGACCUUACUAGAAGUGCUGUAUUAUGUCAGGGCUGUCCCAGCACAUACUAGGCCACAGGCCGUUAACGGGCAGUAACGUGGGUGCUGACAGCGCUCUGGGCCAGGCCUCGUUAAUCUAUCUGAGUCAGACAUGCUCUCCAAAUCCAGAUUACAGCCGGGAAGCGAAGGGGGCGGGACGGAGACAUGAUGAAAUAAACAAGUACUAAAUGCAUCCCUCUCACGAGAACCUGUUGGACAAACCCACGUGAGAAACUCUCUCUUUCCGUCAUCGACUGACAUGACGAACGCAGGUAUUUGGUCCUUUGAUUAAGAUUGAUUUGAUUUUGAUUAAGUGUGACCGUUACUUUGGAAGUGUUUUGUGCUUUAAAAAAUAUUUUGUAUAUAAUUCAUUGUUAUAUUCAUUUCAAAACUGUUGUGUAAUUCCAUUUCAUUAAACGUAUAUAACAUGA